UGGUGGGGUAAUGGCCCACCAAGGCGACGAUGCAUAGCCGACCUGAGAGGGUGAUCGGCCACACUGGGACUGAGACACGGCCCAGACUCCUACGGGAGGCAGCAGUAGGGAAUCUUCCACAAUGGACGAAAGUCUGAUGGAGCAACGCCGCGUGAACGAUGAAGGCCUUCGGGUCGUAAAGUUCUGUUGUAAGGGAAGAACAAGUGCCGCAGGCAAUGGCGGCACCUUGACGGUACCUUGCGAGAAAGCCACGGCUAACUACGUGCCAGCAGCCGCGGUAAUACGUAGGUGGCAAGCGUUGUCCGGAAUUAUUGGGCGUAAAGCGCGCGCAGGCGGCCUCUUAAGUCUGAUGUGAAAGCCCCCGGCUCAACCGGGGAGGGCCAUUGGAAACUGGGAGGCUUGAGUAUAGGAGAGAAGAGUGGAAUUCCACGUGUAGCGGUGAAAUGCGUAGAGAUGUGGAGGAACACCAGUGGCGACGCGACUCUUUGGCCUAUAACUGACGCUGAGCGCGAAAGCGUGCGCAGCAAACAGGAGUAGAUACCCUGGUAGUCCACGCCGUAACGAUGAUGCUGAAGUGUUGACGGUUUCCGCCUUCAUGCUGAGCUUACGCAUUGAGCCCUCCCCCCUGGGGUGAGGUCUCUCAAGUUGACUCUAAAAAGAUUGCGCGGGAACCCCUCAACCCUGUAGAUCUGAUGUUUUUU
rnacentral:rRNA from 1 species